GACGAACGCUGGCGGCGUGCUUAACACAUGCAAGUCGAACGGAAAGGCCCUGCUUUUGUGGGGUGCUCGAGUGGCGAACGGGUGAGUAACACGUGAGUAACCUGCCCUUGACUUUGGGAUAACUUCAUGAAACUGGGGCUAAUACCGGAUAGGAGCUCCUGCUGCAUGGUGGGGGUUGGAAAGUUUCGGCGGUUGGGGAUGGACUCGCGGCUUAUCAGCUUGUUGGUGGGGUAGUGGCUUACCAAGGCUUUGACGGGUAGCCGGCCUGAGAGGGUGACCGGCCACAUUGGGACUGAGAUACGGCCCAGACUCCUACGGGAGGCAGCAGUGGAGAAUAUUGCACAAUGGGCGGAAGCCUGAUGCAGCAACGCCGCGUGCGGGAUGACGGCCUUCGGGUUGUAAACCGCUUUCGCCUGUGACGAAGCGUGAGUGACGGUAAUGGGUAAAGAAGCACCGGCUAACUACGUG
rnacentral:rRNA from 1 species